GUUGGUCAUUGGCAUUCUCCUGGACAUGAAGAUUGUUACCAUCAAGAUGUUUGGUAAAAAAAGUUGAUGUUGUGAUUCCUAAUAUAUUCACAGAGAGCGAGAGAUUAUUUGUUUCUCCUGAUUGCAAGGUUUGCAUGAGCUCUCUCUAUUGAACAUGGAAGGUUGCCCUGUUACUACAGCAUGCUUGGACUCUCUUGUAGGUUGAGAAACUGAUAAAGGAGCUGCCUAGUAUGCUCGCUGAUUUGUCCAAUGGAGAUCUAAAUUCGGCAGAAAAGGAUCAUUUAAGCAAUGGAAUCUCUUUUCAACACACUGAAAAUGGAACAAAUCCCAGGGAGGCCCAAAGCAUGCUUUUGGAGAGAAUCGCCAGUGAAAUGAAUCGGCUAAAGUUCUACAUCACUCAUGCACAGGUCUAUCUUGCUGUCAUCCUCAUGUUAACUCUAUUAGCUUUCUUGUGGUUUUUACAUUUGUCUUAUAAUUUUUUUGCAACAAUUUCUCAGUUACUUUUGUAUCAUUCAUGUGCCAAUAAUGUUAUUAAACUGUCUUUACUGAAUGCUGUUGAUGAUAUGCUUUCUGAGUUUUUUAAAAUUUAUUUAUUAAUUUUUGACUUUAUGUUUCUGUUAUUCACGACACAAGUUGUGAAAGUCUUAGUGAUUGAUUCAUCAUUUCAUCUUCAAACUGUUACUUUACCAAAGAGCAAGACUAUUUCAAUGUUUUUCUGGAGCCUCUCUAGGUUGCUCUACAAUUGAAACUUACAGUGUCUCUCUUGCAUUUGGAAAACAUAUGCAAAUCACGUUUCUUUCAAAUAAACACAAUUUUCUGUAUGGUUUGUUAUCUAUACAUUCCGUCAUGAACACAAUUUUCUGGUAUGUGGUUAUUACCUUGCUAUUUGCUACUUCCGGCUAUAUGCUUUACAUUUUACACCUAUUGCACAUUUAGCGUUGCUCUCUUCAUAUAGUUGUUGAACAAGUCAGUGGAAAAGACCACAUGCUCAACCAUUUGAGCAUUCCAGCAGCUUGUUUCACUCACCCAGAAAUUAAGUAUGGUAGGACUCACAGAGGUGAAUAUCAAAUUUUCCAAUUCCCAUACCAAACCCACAAAUUUUCCAAUUAGUGUUAGCAUCACUUUUCUUAAUUUUUAACGGUGUUUUUAUAACCGCCGCAUAUUAUUUAACCAAAACGGCACCGUUUUAUAAUUGAAGAACCAGUACACUUUUUGGGCUUUUAUGAAUAAUUACAAAAAGCUUUAUUGAAACACCAAAAACCAUUUUAUCGGUUCAUAAUCUCAAUUGCUUGGUUUUUUAAGAAUGAAAUUGGUUAAUGUGUUAACGUUUUCUGUCCUAAUGGCGUAUGUAUCCAUUAUAGAGGUUUAUUAGUGUGGAAUCUUUCUGCACUCACCUGAUUAUAGCAAUCAAUCAUAUAGAUAUCCUGGAUGCUCUCUGGUUGAUGCUCUAGUUAUGGAAUUGU